rnacentral:rRNA from 1 species
AUGAACGCUGGCUACAGGCUUAACACAUGCAAGUCGAGGGGCAUCAGGAAGAAAGCUUGCUUUCUUUGCUGGCGACCGGCGCACGGGUGAGUAACACGUAUCCAACCUGCCCUUUACUCGGGGAUAGCCUUUCGAAAGAAAGAUUAAUACCCGAUGGCAUAAUGAUUCCGCAUGGUUUCAUUAUUAAAGGAUUCCGGUAAAGGAUGGGGAUGCGUUCCAUUAGGUUGUUGGUGAGGUAACGGCUCACCAAGCCUUCGAUGGAUAGGGGUUCUGAGAGGAAGGUCCCCCACAUUGGAACUGAGACACGGUCCAAACUCCUACGGGAGGCAGCAGUGAGGAAUAUUGGUCAAUGGGCGCUAGCCUGAACCAGCCAAGUAGCGUGAAGGAUGAAGGCUCUAUGGGUCGUAAACUUCUUUUAUAUAAGAAUAAAGUGCAGUAUGUAUACUGUUUUGUAUGUAUUAUAUGAAUAAGGAUCGGCUAACUCCGUGCCAGCAGCCGCGGUAAUACGGAGGAUCCGAGCGUUAUCCGGAUUUAUUGGGUUUAAAGGGAGCGUAGGUGGACUGGUAAGUCAGUUGUGAAAGUUUGCGGCUCAACCGUAAAAUUGCAGUUGAUACUGUCAGUCUUGAGUACAGUAGAGGUGGGCGGAAUUCGUGGUGUAGCGGUGAAAUGCUUAGAUAUCACGAAGAACUCCGAUUGCGAAGGCAGCUCACUGGACUGCAACUGACACUGAUGCUCGAAAGUGUGGG